CUUGCAAACUGGAGAUGGCGACCGGCGCACGGGUGAGUAACACGUAUCCAACCUGCCGAUAACUCGGGGAUAGCCUUUCGAAAGAAAGAUUAAUAUCCGAUGGUAUAUUAAAACCGCAUGGUUUUACUAUUAAAGAAUUUCGGUUAUCGAUGGGGAUGCGUUCCAUUAGUUUGUUGGCGGGGUAACGGCCCACCAAGACUACGAUGGAUAGGGGUUCUGAGAGGAAGGUCCCCCACAUUGGAACUGAGACACGGUCCAA
rnacentral:rRNA from 1 species